rnacentral:rRNA from 1 species
UACAGAGGUCUCAAGCGUUGUUCGGAUUCAUUGGGCGUAAAGCGCACGUAGGCGGUUCGUUAUGUCGGAUGUGAAAGCCCUUGGCUUAACCGAGGAAGUGCAUCCGAAACUGGCGAGCUAGAGUACUAAAGAGGAUCGCGGAAUUCCCGGUGUAGAGGUGAAAUUCGUAGAUAUCGGGAGGAACACCGGUGGCGAAGGCGGCGAUCUGGGUAGAUACUGACGCUGAGGUGCGAAAGCGUGGGGAGCAAACAGG